UAAAGAAGCAAUUAAGGCCAUGAUGGG
rnacentral:misc_RNA from 1 species